GCCUAAAUAAGGUGAAACCGCGAAAGGCUCAUUAAAUCAGUUAUGGUUCCUUAGAUUGUACCCACACUUACUUGGAUAACUGUGGUAAUUCUAGAGCUAAUACAUGCAAAUAGAACUCCGACCGGAGACGGAAGGAGUGCUUUUAUUAGAUCAAAACCAAUCGGCAAUGGUUCACGCCAUUGUCGUAUUAUUUGGUGACUCUGAAUAACUUAUUGCUGAUCGCACGGUCUAGAACCGGCGACGCAUCUUUCAAAUGUCUGCCUUAUCAACUGUCGAUGGUAGGUUCUGCGCCUACCAUGGUUGUAACGGGUAACGGGGAAUCAGGGUUCGAUUCCGGAGAGGGAGCCUGAGAAACGGCUACCACAUCCAAGGAAGGCAGCAGGCGCGCAAAUUACCCACUCCCGGCACGGGGAGGUAGUGACGAAAAAUAACGAUACGGGACUCAUCCGAGGCCCCGUAAUCGGAAUGAGUACACUCUAAAUCCUUUAACGAGGACCAAUUGGAGGGCCAGUCUGGUGCCAGCAGCCGCGGUAAUACCAGCUCCAAUAGCGUAUAUUAAAGUUGUUGCGGUUAAAAAGCUCGUAGUCGAAUCUGUGUCCCACGCCGUCGGUUCACCGCUCGCGGUGUUUAACUGGCGUGUCCGUGGGACGUCCUGCCGGUGGGCUUAGCCUUAAGGGGCGGUCCAACUUGAAAUCCUACCGCGGUGCUCUUGAUUGAGUGUCGAGGUGGGCCGGCACGUUUACUUUGAACAAAUUAGAGUGCUUAAAGCAGGCUAAAAUUUCGCCUGAAUACUGUGUGCAUGGAAUAAUGGAAUAGGACCUCGGUUCUAUUUUGUUGGUUUUCGGAACCCCGAGGUAAUGAUUAAUAGGAACGGAUGGGGGCAUUCGUAUUGCGACGUUAGAGGUGAAAUUCUUGGAUCGUCGCAAGACGGACAUAAGCGAAAGCAUUUGCCAAAAACGUUUUCAUUGAUCAAGAACGAAAGUUAGAGGUUCGAAGGCGAUCAGAUACCGCCCUAGUUCUAACCAUAAACGAUGCCAGCUAGCGAUCCGCCGACGUUCCUCCGAUGACUCGGCGGGCAGCUUCCGGGAAACCAAAGCUUUUGGGUUCCGGGGGAAGUAUGGUUGCAAAGCUGAAACUUAAAGGAAUUGACGGAAGGGCACCMCCAGGAGUGGAGCCUGCGGCUUAAUUUGACUCAACACGGGAAACCUCACCAGGCCCGGACACCGGAAGGAUUGACAGAUUGAGAGCUCUUUCUUGAUUCGGUGGGUGGUGGUGCAUGGCCGUUYUUAGUUGGUGGAGCGAUUUGUYUGGUUAAUUCCGAUAACGAACGAGACUCUAGCCUAUUAACUAUACAAUUAA
rnacentral:rRNA from 1 species